rnacentral:rRNA from 1 species
AGCGAACGCUGGCGGUAGGCCUAACACAUGCCAGUCGAACGAACUCUUCGGAGUUAGUGGCGGACGGGUGAGUAACACGUGGGAACGUGCCUUUUGGUUCGGAAUAACUCAGGGAAACUUGUGCUAAUACCGAAUGUGCCCUUCGGGGGAAAGAUUUAUCGCCAUUAGAGCGGCCCGCGUCUGAUUAGCUAGUUGGUGAGGUAACGGCUCACCAAGGCGACGAUCAGUAGCUGGUCUGAGAGGAUGACCAGCCACACUGGGACUGAGACACGGCCCAGACUCCUACGGGAGGCAGCAGUGGGGAAUCUUGCGCAAUGGGCGAAAGCCUGACGCAGCCAUGCCGCGUGAAUGAUGAAGGUCUUAGGAUUGUAAAAUUCUUUCACCGGGGACGAUAAUGACGGUACCCGGAGAAGAAGCCCCGGCUAACUUCGUG